rnacentral:lncRNA from 1 species
CUUCACAGCAAUCAGGACGUGCGGCCUUAGUACCUUUCCACCCUUGUGGUUACUAAGUCAGCCUUUCGGACAAACUCGAUCAGCACUUAGAGAGAGAAAGUGUGAAUACUUUUAGAGAGAAGUCAGAGCUUUAGAAAGUACUUGAUUUUAUAACUUGGUGAAUGAUUUACAAAUGAGGCUUCACCCCCUAUUUAUACAAAAUCACCUCCUCAACGGACGGUGGAGAUCGAACCGAUCUAACGGCUCAGAUCAUUUCCUUCCUAUGAAGUAACUUCAACAUGAAGUACUUCACUCUUAAGCUACUUCCUCCUAAAGUAUUCUACACACUUCCAUCCUUAUUUUAUAUUAUCCAUACUUAGAUAUUUUACAAGCUUAAACUUAAGAAAAAUACUAAGUAUGGUCGGUUUUAAACCUCUCGGUCCCGACCCAUUAUUUCUUCAAAAGUUGGGGCGUGACAUCCUCCCCCACCUAUGCUGGUGACGCCCUCGUCGCCAUGUAUGCCUUCAGUGCGUCCCGGAAUUGCCACAAGUCCUCUUCCGGUUCCCAAGUUGCUUCCGCCUCCGGCAGUCCCUUCCAUUUGAUGAGAAAAUGGGUCUGUCUUGGGACUCCUCGCUUCCUGACUUCUUUGGACGCCAGUACUUCCCCAAUCUCCUUGUCAUAAGACUUGGUCAUGACUGGUGGUGCCCUGGUCGAGACGCCUCUGUCUUGGUCGUCCAUAUCAGCCUGGUACGGCUUCAGCAUGCUCACAUGAAAGACCGGAUGGAUCUUAAGUGUAUCCGGUAGGUCAAGUCGGUAGGAAACCUUUCCCACCUUCCCAACUAUCUCGAACGGCCCUUCGUACCUCCGGAUCAAGCCUUUGUGUAGGCUCCGGAAUGCCUUGAACUGUUGUGGAAGUAACUUCACAAGUACAAGGUCGCCCACUGAGUACUCCGAAGACCGUCUCUUCUCAUCUGCCCACUUCUUCAUACGCUUACGGGACUUCUCCAAACAUGCUCGGGCCUGAUCCGCAUGUUCUUCCCACUGCUUGACCAUGAUAAACGCCCCUGGACUUCUCCCCUCAGUCCUUGGUGCAGCCAAAGUAUGUGGAGUUAGUGGCUGUUGUCCUGUUGCGAGCUCGAAUGGACUGCGUCCUGUCGCCUCGCUGCGUUGAAGGUUGUAAGAGAACUGGGCUAUAUCCAGCAACUUCGCCCAGUCUCGUUGGUUGGCGCUUACAAAGUGACGGAGAUAACUCUCAAGCAAGGCAUUCACCCUUUCGGUCUGCCCAUCAGAUUGCGGGUGAAAGCUUGUUGAGAAACUUAGUUCUGUCCCAAGCAUUUUGAACAGCUCCGUCCAUAAGCGCCCGGUGAAUCGUGGAUCACGAUCACUCACGAUGUUCCGCGGAAGUCCCCAUAACUUAACCACGUUUUUGAAAAACGCCCUUGCUGCCUCUUCCGCGGUGCAGUCCCGGUCGCAAGCCACGAACGUCCCAUACUUAGAGAAUCGGUCCACAAUCACCAGGAUGGAUCCGAACCCUUCGGACUUAGGCAAUGCGCUGAUGAAGUCUAGGGAAACCGAGUCCCAUGGUCUCUCUGGAAUCGGAAGUGGCUGUAGCAAACCCGCGGACUGCUUGUUCUCCGUCUUGUCUUGCUGGCAAACAAGACAAGUCUUCACAUAAAGUUCCACGGUAUCCCUCAUCCGUGGCCAGUAGUAUCCUGCUUCGAUAAGUGCCAUUGUUCUCUUCUGUCCCGGAUGGCCCGCCCAUCGGGUAUCAUGGCACUCCCGAAUGAUGUCUCGUCGAAGACUUUCCCACUUAGGCACAUAAAGUCUUCGACCUUUGGUAUAGAGUAGCCCGUUCUCUACCCAAAAUCGAUGCACCUUCCCUUCGUUGGAUAGUUUCACCAGCUCCUUAGCGACUGGAUCGCGUUCCAGCCCCUCUCGGAUUCGAGCCAUAAUGGUCCCCUCGACUUGGCUCAUUGCUGCUAGCUCUGCUUUCCGACUUAGUGCAUCGGCCACCACAUUCACCUUUCCUGGCUUGUACUCCAAAGUGUAAUCGAACUCAGCCAGGAAGUCUUGCCAUCUUGCCUGUUUCGGGGACAGCUUCUUCUGGGUCUGAAAGUAGCUCGUCGCCACGUUGUCCGUUUUGACUGAGAAGUGCGAUCCCAGAAGAUAGUGUCUCCAAACUCGUAAGCAAUGGACUAUCGCGGUCAUCUCCUUCUCUUGAACCGUGUACCGCCGUUCAGUCUCAUUGAGCUUGCGGCUCUCAAAGGCAAUUGGGUGUCCAUUUUGCAUCAGCACUCCCCCGAUGGCAAAGUCGGAGGCAUCCGUGUGUAACUCGAAAGGGAGACUGAAGUCGGGUAAGGCAAGGACGGGUUCCUGGCUUACUGCAGUCUUCAGCUCCUCGAAGGCUUCUUGGCAACGUCCGGACCAGUCCCAUGUCUUCCCCUUCUUGAGAAGGUCCGUCAGUGGUGCUGCCUUCCUUGAAUAUCCCUCGAUGAACCGACGAUAGUAGUUGACCAGACCAAGGAAAGAUCUCAACUCCGUCACCUUGGUCGGGGCCUCCCACUCCAUAAUCGCCUUGACCUUCGGUUCAUCCAUCUUCAGCUUUCCAUGGCCGAUAACAUGGCCAAGGAACUGAACUUCCUCAGUGGCAAACGUGCACUUCUCCCUCUUCACGAACAGUUCGUUUUCUCGGAGAACCCGGAAAACUGUCCGUAGGUGCUCUACAUGCUCCUCCAUCGAGUUGCUGUAGAUGACUAUGUCGUCUAAGUAUGCCACCACGAACCGAUCCAAGUAGGGUUGUAGGAUCUGGUUCAUAAGGGUGCAAAACGUGGCUGGGGCGUUCGUAAGCCCGAAGGGCAUCACCAACCACUCGAACGACCCAUACCGCGUUAUGCACGCAGUCUUCGGCUCAUCCCCUUCCGCUAUCCGGACUUGAUAGUAACCCUUCUGCAAGUCCAUCUUCGUAUAGACUUUUGCCCCACCAAGUCUAUCGAAUAGGUCGGCAAUCAGCGGAAUGGGAUAACGGUUCUUGAUCGUCACCUUGUUAAGGGCCCGGUAGUCCACGCACAUCCUCAACGAACCAUCAUGCUUCUUUUGGAACAAAACCGGGGCGCCAUAAGGUGCCUUCGACGGUCUCAGCUUCCCCGUCGAUAACAACUCAUCGAGUUGUUUCCUCAACUCCUCCAGCUCGGAUGGAGCCAUCCUAUAAGGUGCCAUAGAUGGUGGUUUGGCUCCCGGCUCCAACUCGAUCUGAUGGUCCACCGCCCUCCUCGGUGGUAACUUCUCAGGCAACUUAGCUGGCAUCACGUCCUUGUUCUCCUCAAGGACUGCCUCGACGACUUGUGGGAUAGACUCCACGUUCUUGGGCUGAUCCUCCACCUUCAUCAUAGCCAAAAACGUGGGUUCACCCUUCUUCACCCCCUUGGUGAGCUGCAUCGCCGAUAGUUGCCUCGUCCCAUCGGUUUUCUCUUCCAAGGCUGGAAUCAUGCACGGUGAUCCCUUCUCGAGUAUGCAUACCGAGCUCAACGCAGGCAUGGGUAUGGCUGAGACUUGUCUCAUGAAUUCCAUACCCAAGACUACCUUGAAGUCGUCCAUAGGAAUGACUGAGAAGUUCACCGGACCAUUCCAGCUUCCCAAUUUCAUCCCGACCCCUCGGGCUAUCCCAUGGACUGGUUGAGCCUUGGCGUUCACCGUCUUCAUCCAACCGUCCUUCUUGGACCACUUGACACCAAGUCUCACAGCUUCGUCUAUCGCCAUGAAGUUGUGAGUGGCGCCCGUGUCCACCAUCACUCGGGUCGGUUUGUCAUUGAUCCGAGCCUCGACAUACAUGAGCCCCUUGCUCGUUGGCUUUACCACCGGGUUAGCCUUCAGGGCGUUGAGAAGCUGCAACGAUCCCAUCUUUCCCGGCUCCUCUUCUGGAGACUCGGUGUCCCGACUCUCCAUGAUUGCGGACAAGGAUCCCAUUUUUGGACAGUCCUUCAUCGCAUGUGGCCCCUUGCACACAAAGCACCCUCCCUUAGGAACGAAGGACUUUUUCCUUGCCUCGAAGUCUUCCCGUCGAGCACCCCUCUCAAAACUCCUUGAGUUGGAUGGUCGGGAAGUAUCCCGUCUCGCUCCCCCACUUUUGGCCACGACCUGCUCCUUCUUCUUUGAGGACUCGGACGGACCAGAGGUGCGGAAGUCAGUUAGCGACUCAGCCACCGCAAUGGCUUCGUCCACUGUCUUGACUCCCCGACGCUGUAACUCUUGUUUGGCCCAAGCUUGCAGUCCAUCGGUGAAGUAGAACACAAGGUCCUCUGCAGUCAUGUUCGGAAUCUGAAGCAUGAGCGUUGUGAACUCCUUCACAUAGUCCCGGAUCGAGCCACGCUGUCGAAGUUCCCUUAACUUCUUACGGGCCUCAUACACGACGUUCUCCGGGUAGAACUGCCGCUUUAACUCCUUCUUGAAAUCAUCCCAAGUAUCGAUCCGGCAUGUUCCUUGCUCGAUCUCGGAAUGUUUCCUUCGCCACCACAGCAUGGCCGUGUCCGACAGGUAGGACGUCGCAGCCUUCACCUUCGCAUUCUCAGCCACCAAGUUGAGAUUGUCGAAGUAUAUCUCCAUCUGCCAAAGGAAAUUCUCGACCUCCUUGGCAUCCCGCGCCCCGUUGAACCGAUUUGGCUUCGGAAAUUCAACCUUACCAACACUGGUUCCUUCAACGGUUCCAGCGUUCGCGCUUGCCCUCUUGACCAGUGCGACGUCCUCCUCCAUUGCAGUAAAGCGUGCCUUCAUCCCCUCGAUGUCAUCACGCAAAGCCUGCAUGGAUCCCGUCACCAGCUCCUCGAGCCGAAUGAACCGAGAGUCCAAGUCGGCAGCAUUUUGCUUGACCUCCUCAAGCCCACCGAACACAACACUCUCCAGCUCAGUGACGGUAUGCUCGACCCUCUCGAGCUUCUCACCAAUCUCGCCCACAGCCACACCCAGAGCCUCACGAGAAACACUCUUUUCCCGCUGGGUGCCAGCACGUGUGGACGUAGCCUCCCGUCCGCGCUCCUCCACGCCGGACUGCGAGCUUGCUUCUUUUUGUUUAUCUCCCUUAGCCAUUUUCUUCACUCGGACAGAGGCUCCCUUUGUCUGGAUCGUAACUCCGCUCUGAUACCAACUGUCACGGACUGAUUUCUUCACAGCAAUCAGGACGUGCGGCCUUAGUACCUUUCCACCCUUGUGGUUACUAAGUCAGCCUUUCGGACAAACUCGAUCAGCACUUAGAGAGAGAAAGUGUGAAUACUUUUAGAGAGAAGUCAGAGCUUUAGAAAGUACUUGAUUUUAUAACUUGGUGAAUGAUUUACAAAUGAGGCUUCACCCCCUAUUUAUACAAAAUCACCUCCUCAACGGACGGUGGAGAUCGAACCGAUCUAACGGCUCAGAUCAUUUCCUUCCUAUGAAGUAACUUCAACAUGAAGUACUUCACUCUUAAGCUACUUCCUCCUAAAGUAUUCUACACACUUCCAUCCUUAUUUUAUAUUAUCCAUACUUAGAUAUUUUACAAGCUUAAACUUAAGAAAAAUACUAAGUAUGGUCGGUUUUAAACCUCUCGGUCCCGACCCAUUAUUUCUUCAAAAGUUGGGGCGUGAC